rnacentral:rRNA from 1 species
UACGUAGGGGGCAAGCGUUGUCCGGAAUCAUUGGGCGUAAAGAGCGUGUAGGCGGCUCGGUAAGUCCGCUCUGAAAGCCCGGGGCUCAACCCCGGGAGGCGGGCGGAUACUGUCGAGCUAGAGUCCGGAAGAGGCGAGUGGAAUUCCUGGUGUAGCGGUGAAAUGCGCAGAUAUCAGGAGGAACACCAAUGGCGAAGGCAGCUCGCUGGGACGUGACUGACGCUGAGACGCGAAAGCGUGGGGAGCAAACAGG